AAAGUUUACCAACCGCCUGACCACCACCUGAUGGUCGCCCGCCCCUCAUGGUGGGGCGGGGGCCCUCUCCUGCCCUGCUCUGCCUGACCAGCUACCGACCUAACAGUUUGAUGUCCUUAAGACUUUCUGGCAACUAGAUUGGACUUGGAGGAUCCUGAGGGCCGCCAGAUUGGUUGGGGAUGCUGAAGUGCGCAGGACGCCGAGGCUAAGGGGCAGGAAGGGACGGCCAGCAUGCAGCGCCACGAGUCGGUCAGCAGGUGGCGCGCGAGCACCGCGUUUAACCAGUUUCUAGUGGACUCACCGGAUUCAAGAGGCCCCCAUCGCAUCAGCUUCAGCCUUCAUCGUGGG
rnacentral:lncRNA from 1 species